CAUUUAAUAUAAACUGAGAUAUUGCUCAAAGUUUAAAACUAAGUUCAACAAGUCGCGUAUGACAGUAGUUCACACGACUGAUCCGGAAUUGGACAAACAGAUGGUGUCUCUUUGGUAACGCAUCUCAACUACAAUAAUGCUUUCACUGAAGAAAUAUUUAUUGAUGCAUUUGCUGAAAGAUAUAUCAAUUAAAUGCAUUUAGUUUUUGUGCAGAAAACUUGGUUAUUCUUUAGCUACAGACAACUUUUCCCUCCAGCACGAUUUUUUCCGAAGGUGUAAGUGACCAAGAUUUCGAAGUCCUAAUGUAUUAAAGAAGUGUGACAAGUAAUAAACCUGGGUUGGAUCAGUAACCAUUUUCAGCAUAAUUUACCUUUCUAAGUAAAAAUUAUUUCAUUAAGUAUUUUUAAUGAUAAUUACAAAGUGAUUCGCAGUGUGCGAAAUUAACCAUGGACCAAUAGACAAUGUCUAUAGAAAAUCGGGUCGGUCUACAACAAUCGAAAUAGCUAUAGACCAACUUGUCUAUAGGAAUUAUGAGUAAAUAACUGGUUACCCGCUGCUUAUUUAACAUAUAUGAGAUGCGAAACCAGUUUAUAUGAAUUAGCUGAUGUUUCUUUUCACCCUUUAUUUGAUAUUUACUUCAAUGUACACCAUUUUUCGUGCAAAUUCAGAAUGUCCUUUUUUGAACGGUUAAAAUAUGUGGAAGGUGCACGUACUGGAAUCAAAUGGAAAGCAGUCAGUACAACAAGUUCCAGCAAGGCUAAAGUCGCAGAAAAUCAUGAGAAAACGAAACGUAGUAGAAGUGACUUAGAUGAAGAAUCAAACAGUGAAACUGAGCUGGAACAAAAUGAAAAAGAAAACAAACUUUUAAUUAAAAAGCUUGUGCAUGAAAUUGAAAAAAGAAUAUAAUUAAACUAUGAACGAAUUACCAAAUCAAAUUUGUGUCUAUUAUUUACUUUUUAAUAACAAUGAAUAUUACAUGUUAAAUUUUGGUCUAUAGAAAUUUGUUGUGGUCUAUAGGAAAUGAAAUUACUAUGGACUGAAAGUCUAUAGGACUUUAAAGUUAGUUUCACACACUGGAUUCGGAACUGGCAUUGAUCCGGAACUGGGCAAAAGACUACUACCAUUAUUACCACUUUAGCAGUCAUUUUUAUUCUAUCAUUUUCAAACUUAAUCUCUGUAAAAUUUGCUUCAACAUUAGCAAUGAUUAAGACAGAAUUUAAACUUCAAGUCACAUUAUCACAGCAUCAUUAAAUUCUUCUCUGACACUGGUCAGAAAGGAACAUUCUAUUUCUGUUAUGUGAUGAAGUGGGGGCUUCCUGCAGGGAAAUAAGUUGAGGCAUACUGAUAACAAAUUUUACAAAAGUUUUAUUUAUACAAGUACUGGCACAAAAACAUCCAACAUUUACAUAGCAUCUCGCACUUGUAUACCGGCUACUUUGUCAACACAUGGAUCUAUAAUAAAGUGUGUGAGGCAUGGAUCCUAUUGUUUGAUAAAUAAUAAUAAAAUAGCAUAUUGUUUCUAUUUAAGAAAUAGAGCUAAAUAAAGAGUUCAGGGGCUGACAAAUGAUUUUUUUAAAGCACUUGCCCUUGGGCAAGUGGUUAGGCAUAAUUUACUUGCCCAACCUUUCAAUCUACUUGCCCCAUCAAUAUUGCUCAUUGUGGUAGAAAUUUAAAUUAAAGAUAAAAUCUAUACAAUAUUUGUGUUCUUUGUUUCACUUUUCACCCAUGGCAACGUGUCCUCUCAUGAUUUGAUGUAAAACCGUUUCCUCUGAGUUUUCUCGUACUUCGCAUACUUUGAUACUGAAGGUCCAGGACAUUCAUUGUUAACAAUGUCAAAUAAUUACUGGUCAUCGUGUGUUUUCCGAGCCUUUUCGCUUGACUUUAGUUAUAAAUUUGUCCAUGCUUGGACCCUCACCGCAAUGUCAACACAUACGUAUACAGGGAUCGAAAUUAACUUUUUUCUCUACUAGCAAAUUUUAGCUAGUGGAUUAAUUUCCAACUAGCAAAAUUGAGUUUUUACUAGCAUUUUUCAAUCGAUUGCUGUUUUACAUGAAUUUAAGAAAACAAGCAUGUCUCUUUAUCAAAAUAUAGGGAAAAUCUUUUAAAAUCUCCUUUAAAGUGCAAUAAUAAAAAUAAGAUUGCAAAUUCUUCCAUUUAAAAUUUAAUGAAUUAUCAGACAACAUACAUGGUGAGGGUCAUAGGGUACACUUGUGCGGCGUACUUUCUGUCCAGAGAUCUACCACCUAUUUACAACAUCAUGUGGAUUGAAAUUUUGAAGACUGUUUGCGCCAAUCAACUAUAUGUUCAAAGCUUUUGGAAAUUUCAUCUAAAAAAUUCUAGUUGAAAAGAAAACCCUGCGAACUCGAAGUAUUUGACUAUAGAGAACAGAAGGACACCGCGUGAAACGGUGACACUAACACUGUCAUGUGUUUUUUCAUGUAGACACGGACGAAAUCAACAUGCUUGCUAUUUAAAUCAGACGUCACUGAGACGCCCAAAGUGUGCUUGAAGUAGGCCAUCUUCGACAUCACUGACUGAGAUGACCUUGGCCAUAGUUAUUUAUUCGAUCCACGUUUACUUUUUCAAUACUUGUAUAUUCAUUCUGUAAAACGUUUCUAUGCACAAUGCUCAGUUCAUAUAUUUCCAAGGUAUUAAGCAAGAAAAAUUUGCUAACAAAAUAGUGUGAUUUUUAUUUGAAAUUGAAAUUAAAGAAUACCAACAAAAAAAAAAAAAAUUAAGAAAAGUGACAAGCUUGACCCCUGAGUCUCUUAUGGAACAAUUUACCUCUGUUUGGAUGGCCAUAUGAUAUCCUGUUGGUUUGUUGGUCCAAAUGACCCUAGUCAAGUAAAUUUUUCACAAUUUUGGGUAGUGUUGUACUGAUAAUCAGAAAACAUCGAUUAACGACGAAAAAAAGCUACCAAUUCCGAUGAUCGAUUGUUUUUUUUCAUAAUCGAUCAUCGGAUCCACACAUCUCAUAGAGCGCAUUCCGGAAUUAGACCGUUUCCGUUAUCGUUUUACCUGUGCCGGGGGAAAAAAUGGCGUCAAACAAUGGAAUAUAUGAUCACCCGGGCGUGAAAAAGAAGUCAGAAGUAUGGAAGUAUUUCGGAUUUCGGAAGGUAGACAUCAAUUUACCUCCAAGUAAAACGAACCUAAAUCUAAAUAAAGCUGUGUGCCGUAUAUGCUACAAGGAAUACACCAACACUGGAAAUACUACAAAUUUCCGUGCACAUCUGGAUAGUGAACAUAAACAGCAGACACAGAAGACUGGCUUAGUGAUAUAAUGUGCGUAGGAGAAAGCAGUUUCACAAGAUGAUAUGGCUUAUGAAGAGACCAGACGUUACCUGGGGAUGGCACUGAAAGAAGAUGACAAAGGGCUCACAGCUCUAGCGUGGUGGCAGAAAAAGGAAAUGUUUCCCCCCAGAAUAGCAGUUCUUGCAAAAAAGAUUUUAUGUGUUCAAGCUAGUAGUGUGCCAUCAGAGAGAGUAUUUUCUCUUGCUGGUGGGUUGAUGUCAAAAAAGAGAAGUACGUAGGCUGCAGUGCAGAUAAUGUAGAUUUGUUUAUUUUUUUGAGCAAAAACAUGAGUAAAUUUUGGUGAGAGAUUGAAUGGUAUUAUGCUUAAGCCAGAGACAGUAGAGAUUUAGAUUAAAAUGCUGAGUUUUACAUCAUACUGGUGUUUAGUUUAUCUUGCUAUUUCUCUCCUAGAAAGAGCUGUUAACUAUUUGUUUAAGAAAUGUAAUGCUUUGUAUUGAAUAAAAAACAAAUCUGCACUA